AAAAAAAAAAGUAGCCGGGAGUGGUGACCUCUUCUGUGGUCCCAGCUACUUGGGAGGCUGAGGCGGGAGGAUCGCUUAAGCCCAGCCGGUUGGGGCUGCAGUGAACCAAGAUCAAGCUGCUUCUCUCCUGCCUGGGCAUUAGAGUGAGACCCUGGCUGAUAGUAAAAUAAAUAAAUAGAAGCUAAUCUAGAAGCUGAUGCUGGCCCUGCCCUUGGUGCUCACCACGGACCUGGCAGGCCUGGCGCCUCUCCUGUGCGUGGGGCGGCCUCACCCCAUGACUGGCGCGCUCUUUUCCAGGAUCAUCCAGCAGCUCGUCAACGGCAUCAUCACGCCCGCCACCAUCCCCAGCCUGGGCCCCUGGGGAGUCCUGCACUCAAACCCUAUGGACUACGCCUGGGGGGCCAACGGCCUGGACGCCAUCAUCACACAGGUACAGCGUGGCCAUGGCCCAGAGUGCCUGCUGGGGGAGGGCUGGGCUGCCCACCCCUGGGAGCUGCCCCACUGCCUGGACCCACGAAGCCCCACAGAGGUCAAAGGGGAUGCGGGCACAGCCUCCGCGCUCUGGCGGGCACGGGGGCAGCUCCGGCCUUCCUCCUGCCGUUUCUGAGUCUUGGCGACUUCGGGGGUUCUCCAGUGCUCACGCGGGACGUUGUCGCAAAACCGCGGGGGGGACUCGCCCACAGCCACACGGUCAGGAGGCCACGCGGUCCCUCUUCCCGAGAGGUCGUGCCCUGACCUGCUUCCGAGCGCCACCCGUCUCAGCCUUGCUGAGGAGCCCUUGGAGCAUUUUGUCACUGGCAGGACCCUCACAGUAGCCCACCAGCCGGAGCGCGGCCCCCCCAUUCCGCCGUCAGGGGACCCAGGAGCCGGGGGGGCUGCGUGGGCUCCACAGUGACCUCCGACCCGGGGCGGGCUCCAAGGGGCCCAGGGCCCAGGACAAACGCGGCCUCGGUGCUUUUGCAGGUCCUGCAGCCUCACGUUUCAGAGCCCCGGGCCGGGCCCCCGAGGAGCUCCCGGCACUCUCGCCUCUUGUCUUUCAGCUCCUCAAUCAGUUUGAAAACACAGGCCCCCCACCGGCAGAUAAAGAGAAAAUCCAGGCCCUUCCCACCGUCCCCGUCACUGAGGAGCACGUAGGCUCCGGGCUCGAGUGCCCUGUGUGCAAGGACGACUACGCGCUGGGUGAGCGUGUGCGGCAGCUGCCCUGCAACCACCUGUUCCACGACGGCUGCAUCGUGCCCUGGCUGGAGCAGCACGACAGCUGCCCCGUCUGCCGAAAAAGCCUCACGGGACAGAACACGGCCACGAACCCCCCUGGCCUCACCGGGGUGAGCUUCUCCUCCUCGUCCUCAUCAUCCUCCUCCAGCUCACCCAGCAACGAGAACGCCACGAGCAACUCGUGAGCCCAUGUCGGCCGCCGGGAAAGCACGGGGCCUUUCCCACCCACCCUCAGCCAGCGCCACGCUCGGCUGGUCAGCGCUGCAGGUCCCGCCUGUUCCAGGGCAGGACCCGGGCCCGGCCCGCCGGCCCCCUGGCUCGGGAAGGCGUGGGCCACAUGGUCCCCUCUGGGGCGUCCCCAGCCUCCCCGUCCUCUGUCUAACCUCGCCCUCUAAACGUUCAGCGGUGGAAAGAUUUUUAUAAUUUUAAAUUAUUACUGCUUUGAAAUAAACGGACGUUUGAGCUCACGUGGCGGCCAUGCAUGGUUUGUGGCGGAAGACGGGGCCCAGUGGCUCCCCCAGCGCUGAAACACGGGGCUCAGCGGCUCCCCCAGUGCUGCAGGUGCCGCCAGGACGGGCCACGUGGGCCCCCAGCCUCCCCCUCGGCCGCCUCCACGACCCAGAGUAGGGGGGCUCGGGACCAUGAGGAUGACCAGCAAAAUUCAAGAACAAAACUGCUCCAACAGACUUUUUUAAAAGAAAAAAUAUGUGUAUCUUGAAAGCUAUUUAAAAUACACUACUUACAAAG
rnacentral:sRNA from 1 species